rnacentral:lncRNA from 10 species
CCUGUACCCACUUCAACGACCUGUUCCCCAAGAUACCUCAGGCCCUCUAGCUACCCGUUCACCAGAUACAAACAAGGGAUAUGAUAAAUUCAUUCACAUUUCGGUGGUUUCAAUUUCAAGAAAUUUGCUUCUCCCCAGACGGCGUGCAUUUGCACAAAAACAUUGAAGCAAGAAAGUAAUGUUGUGUAACUCAAAAAAGUAAGUCACAGGCUGGGCGCGGUGGCUCACGCCUGUAAUCCCAGCACUUUGGGAGGCCGAGGCGGGUGGAUCACGAGGUCAAGAGAUCGAGACCAUCCUGGCCAACAUGGUGAAACCCCGUCUCUACUAAAAAUACAAAAAGUAGCUGGGCGUGGUGCCGCGUGCCUGUAGUCCCAGCUACUCAGGAGGCUGAGGCAGGAUAAUCGCUUGAAUCCGGGAGGUGGAGGUUGCAGUGAGCCGAGAUCGCGCCACUGCACUCCAGCCUGGCGACAGAGCAAGACUGCGUCUCAAAAAAAAAAAAAAAAAAAAGGCUGGAGUGCAACGGCACAAUCUCGGCUCACCGCAACCUCCGCCUCCCGGGUUCAAGCGAUUCUGCUGCCUCAGCCUCCUGAGUAGCUGGGAUUACAGGCAUGUGCCACCACGCCCGGCUAAUUUUGUAUUUUUAGUACAGAUAGGGUUUCUCCAUAUUGGUCAGGCUGGUCUCGAACUCCCAACCUCAGGUGAUCCGCAUGCCUCAGCCUCCCAAAGUUCUGGGAUUACAGGCAUGAGCCACCGCACCCGGCCAUUUGUAUGUAAUUUUCUAUAUUUAUUGAAAUGCAUUUUAAGUAAUAUGAAAGCAUUUUUCUCCUUACAAUGGAAAAACCAACUUGAUUUUACAUUUAUUUAUAUAACCUGACUUAAUUCUAUGUAAGUCAAGUGAAAAAGGAAACAACUGCUCUGUGGAAUCAACCUGAAGAUGUCUAAUUUUUCCUCUGAUGCCACCAGACUUAAAGCAGUUCACGAUCCUCUCUACAAAGAAGUAUAUUUAGGUUCUCCCUCUCCCUCUCCCUCUCCCUCUCCCCACGGUCUCCCUCUGAUGCCGAGCCGAAGCUGGACUGUACUGCUGCCAUCUCGGCUCACUGCAGCCUCCCUGCCUGAUUCUCCUGCCUCAGCCUGCCCAGUGCCUGCGAUUGCAGGUGCGCGCCGCCACGCCUGACUGGUUUUCGUAUUUUUUUGGUGGAGACGGGGUUUCGCUGUGUUGGCCAGGCUGGUCUCCAGCUCCUAACCGCGAGUGAUCCGCCAGCCUUGGCCUCCCGAGGUGCCAGGAUGGCAGACGGAGUCGCGUUCACUCAGUGCUCAAUGGUGCCCAGGCUGGAGUGCAGUGGCAUGAUCUCGGCUCGCUACAACCUCCACCUCCCAGCUGCCUGCCUUGGCCCCCCAAAGUGCCGAGAUUGCAGCCUCUGCCUGGCCACCACCCCGUCUGGGAAGUGAGGAGCGUCUCUGCCUGGCCGCCCAUCGUCUGGGAUGUGAGGAGCCUCUCUGACUGGCUGCCCAGUCUGGAAAGUGAGGAGCGUCUCUGCCCGGCCGCCAUCCCAUCUAGGAAGUGAGGAGCGUCUCUGCCAGGCCGCCCAUCGUCUGAGAUGUGGGGAGCGCCUCUGCCCUGCCGCCCCGUCUGGGAUGUGAGGAGCGUCUCUGCCCGGCUGACCCGUCUGAGAAGUGAGGAGACCCUCUGCCUGGCAACCGCCCCGUCUGAGAAGGCUGCGCAAUGCCUGCCGUGGAAUCAGUGAUCAAUACAUCCUUGCUGAAAGAAUGAAUAGAUGAAGGCCUGGGAAUAACUGAGACGUGUCCACGCUAUGGAAAAACUACCCUAAUGUUGUCUCCAACCAGUCUGCUUUCUAUUUCACCUUCGUAAACAGUGCCCAUCAUCAGAAGAGGAGAAAAUGGUAAAAACCAUCCUGCAUAGAUGAUUUUAUGUGCAUAAGAUUAUCAGAAUAGGAGAGCCCUGACCUAAGGCCAGUCCCAGUUUUUGAGCUGCACUGCCACCACUACACAGACAUCUAAAACCCCAAGAGAAAAGCCUGUCUCUCUGGCCACAGGAAAAGGGGGUCCCUGUGCUCCAAAAAGUGUGGAGGGAAUCCCUGUUAUUUGUUCUCUCUCUUUUCUCUCACUACUUUGAACUUGAGGGCAGCCCCAGUUGUGCAGAAUUAUGUGAGAGAAUGGGGGGAAUGGGUUAACACUGAGAGAAAUCCAUCUUUCUGGCCAGAAAAAUAGGGAAGAGAAGGCUCUGGAAAGCUGAAGAGUCUGGGGACAAUCAUAGAGAACAGAGAGUUGGAGGAAGGGAUCCCCUAAUUCUAUGUCUGCACCAAUACCAGUCUGAGGUGCACAUAUGUGAAACAGACUCAAAGAAGUAUGUCAAAGACUUUGAGAGCCAGCCAAGCACCAGACUAAUCCCUAAGUGGCACAUGUUCAGAGAAGACCCAACAGCAUAACAAAUCUGUGGAAAACUGAACUGAUAUUGGAUUCACUGCCCACAGAAUGUGGGCCAGAACUCCCAGUCUGAACCUAAUGGGGUUGGUUAUCUGCCCAAAAGCAAAGAAAAGUAAUCAAUAUUCUCCAGAGGAUUUCAACAGGACUCACAGUCAUGAAACAUAAUACUCAAAAUAUCCAGGAUACAAUCCAAAAUUGCUCAACAUGAUAAAAACAGGAAAAUCUGAUCAAAUCUCAAGGAAAAAGACAAUCAACAGAUGCCAUUCCCAAGAUGACUCAGGUGUUGGAACUACAACAUAAUGACUUUAAAACAGCUACUAUAACCAUGCUACAUAAUCAUACCAUAAAAGUAAAUACUAUUGGAAUGAAUAAAAAGACAUUCUUAGCAGAGAAAUAUAAACUUUUUUAAAAAGAACCAAGUGGAAAUUUUUGAUCUGAAAAAUACAAUACAGAAAGUUUAAAAAUUCACUGAACCUUCCCCUUCAAAAAACAAAAAUAAAAAAUAAAUUCAAUAAAUAAAUAAAUAAAUAAUUCACUGAAUGAGCUCAAUAGAGAAUGGAAAUGACAUAGAAAAGAGUCAGUUGGCCAGGUCAGUUGGCCUGUAAUCCCAACACUUUGGGAAGCUAAAGCAGGAGGAUCUCUUGAGGACAGGAGUUCAAGACCAGCCUGGCCAACAUGGCAAAAGCCCGUCUCUACUAAAAUUAUAAAAAUUAGCUGGACAUGGUGGUGUGCCCCUGUAGUCCCAGCUACUGGGCUGGCUGAGGCAUGAGAAUUGCUUGAACCUGGGAGGCAGAGGUUGCAGUGAGCCAAGAUGGUGCCGCUGCACUUCAGCCUGGGCAAGAGAGCAUGACUCUGUGUCAAAAAAACAAAAACAAAAAAAAAAAAAAAAAAACAGAAAAGAGUCAGUAAACUUUUAGAUAAAUCAAUGGAAAUUAUCCAGUCUAAAGAAUAGAGAGGGCCAGGCACGGUAGCUCACGCCCGUAAUCCCAACGUUUUGGGAGGGCUGAGGCAGGCGGAGCACCUGAGGUCGGGAGUUUGAGACCAGCCUGACCAACAUGGAGAAACCCCGUCUCUACUAAAAAUACAAAAUUAGUUGGGCAUGGUGGUGCAUGCCUGUGAUCCCAGCUACUUAGGAGGCUGAGGCAAUAGAAUUGCUUGAACCUGGGAGGCGGAGGUUGCAGUGAGCCAAGAUCGCGCCAUUGUACUCCAGCCUGGGCAACAAGAGAAAAACUCCAUCUCAAAAAGAAAAAAAAAAAGAAAACAAGAUUGAAAAAAAAGAACAAAGUCUCAGGAACCUACAAGACAAUAUAAAGAAGCUUAAUAUUCACUACAUUUGGGUCCCAGAAGAGGAGAAAAAGAUUAAUACAGAAAAAAACUGAAUAAAUAAUGGCUGAAAUUUUUCCAAAUUUGGUAAAAGACAUAAAUUACAAAUUUAUGCUCGGAUGAAUCCCAAACAGGAUUAACUCAAAUAAAAACACCCAACACAUCCUGAUCAAAGUGCUGGAAAAAAUAAAAAUAAAAAUAAAGAAAAUGUCUUGAAAGCAGCCAGAGAAAAAUAACAGAUUAUAUCUAGGGAACAAACAUCUGCAGAUUUCUCCCCAAAAGAAGUGGAACUUCUUUAAAGUACUGAAAGAAAAGAACUGUCAACAGAUAAUUCUAUAGUCAGCAAUAAUAUCCUUCAAGAAUGGAAGAAAAUAAAGACAUUUUUGGAUUAAGGAAAACUAAUAUAAUUCAUUGCCAGCAGACUUGCUCUGAAAGAAAUGCUAGAGAAACACAAAAAGCUGAAGAAAAGUGAUACCAGAUGAUAUUGCUUUGCAAGUACCUGAGACUUUGUUCUUUUUUGUCAAUCUUGUUUUCUCUCCAUUCUUCAGACUGGAUCAUUUCCACGGAUUUAUCUAAAAGUAUACUGACUCCUUUCUAUGUCAUCUCCAUUCUCUAUUGAGUUCAUGUAGUGAAUAUUUUAACUCCAUAUAUUGUAUUUUUCAGAUCAAAAAUUUCCAGUUGGUUCUUUUUAAUAAAAAUUUAUGUUAUUAUUGACUACACAAAUAAAAGCAAUAAAAUAAUAAAUGUCUGGGUAAACAUAAUGGACUACUUUUUCCUCUUAAAUUCAUUGAAAUAUUUAUAACUAUUUACAAAAAUUAGAACAGUGUUUAGUAGGGUUUUCAAUAUGCACAGAUACAAUACCUAUGGCAACUGUAAUGUUAAGGUGGUGAGGGUAAAAGGAACAAAUAGCUAAGAUAAACAGAAAAAGAAAAGGCUAAACACUUAGUCAAUCACAUAAAAUAUAAAUGGUUUAAAUAUGCCAAUUCGGAGAUAAAGAUUUUCAGAUUAGAUUUUUUUAAAAAAAGCAGCAUAUGCUAUCUACAAAAUAAUAUUUAAAUAUAACUAUAUAGAUGGGUUAAGGAUAAAAUUAUGAAAAAUAUAUGCCAUGCAAUGCAACUAUUAAUUUUAAAAAGUUGAGGCCGGAUGUAGUGCCUCUUUCCUAUAAUUCCAGCUUUGGGAGGCCAAAACAUGGGGAUUGCUUGAGGCCAAAAGGUUGAGAACAGGCUGGGAAACAUAGUGAGACCCUAUCUUUACAUAAAAAAAAAAAAAAAAUUAGCCAGGCAUAGUGGCAUAUGCCAGUAGUUCCAGAUACUCAGGAGGUUACUGAGGUGGAAGGAUUGCUUGAGCUCAGGAGUUCAAGGUUACAGUGAGCUAUGAUUAUGAUACUGCACUCCAGCCUGAGUGACAGAGUAAGACCCUGUAUGAACAAACAAACAAAUAUAUAAAUAAAUAAACAGCUGGAGUGGCUACACUAGUAUCAGAAAAAUUCAACUUCAAAACAGGAAAUUCACAGAGAUAAAGAGACAUGGUAUAAUGAUAAUAGGGCCAAUUCACUGAGAAGACAUAACAAUUCUAAAUGUGUAUAUACCUAAUAACAGUCUGAAAAUACAUGAAACAAAACCUGAUAGAAAAGCAAAUAUAUACCAAAGAAGAUAACUGGAUACCAAAUAAGCACAUGAAAACGUGCUCAACAUCAGUCAAUAGGAAAAUGCAAAUAUCAAAACCACAGUGAGGAAUUACACACCUAUUAGAAUGCUCCUCCAACCAAAAUAUGAGAGUGCCAAGUACUGGGAAGGAUAUGGAGCAACUGGAACUCUCAUACAUUGCUGGCAGGAAUGCAAAAUGGCACAGCCACUUUGGAAGAGAGUUUGGCAUUUCCUUAUAAAAUCAAAUAUAUACUUACUAUAUGACUCAACAGUCCCAUUCAUAGGUGUGUAUCCUAGAAAAAUGAAGGCUUGUGGUGACACAAAAAUCUUUACAUGAAUGUUCAUAGAAGCUUAUAAUAACUGAAAACUAUAAACAACCCAAAUAUCCUUUAGCUGGUAUAUUCAACAAAUUGUGAUACAUGCACAUGAUGGAAUACUACUCAACAAUAAAAAAGAACAGACUAUUGAUGAAUCUGAAAUCCAUUCACCUAAGCUAAAGAAGCCAGACUGAGCCAGGUGCAGUGGCUCACGCCUAUGAUCCCAGCACUUUGGGAGGCUGAGGCGGGUGGAUCACCUGAGGUCAGGAGUUCGAGACCAGCCUGACCAACAAGGUGAAACUCCAUCUCUGCUAAAAAUAUAAAAAUUAGCCAGGCGUGGUGGCAGGGGCCUAUAGUCCCAGCUACUCAGGAGGCUGAGACAGGAGAAUAGCUUGUAUCUGGGAGGCAGAGGUUGCAGGGAGUUGAGAUCGCGCCACUGCACUCCAGCCUAGGUGACAGAGCAAGACUCCUUCUCAAAAAAAAAAAAAAAAGCCAGACCCAAAAGGCAAUAUACUGUAUGAUGCCAUUUAGAUUUCAACAUCCUGGAAAAGGCAAAAAUCAUAGUGUCAAAGAACAGAUCAGAGGUUGCGUUGGGUAAAGAAUGGGAGAGGAAUUGACUUCAAAGGGACAGCAUGAGGUUUCGGGGGUGAUAGAACCAUCACCAGCAUUCCCAUUGUUAGCUAUGACCCUGAACCUCAGCUCCUGGCCCAUGUCAUGAUUAUGAUCAGGGUUAUAUGACUCUAUGCAUUUGUCAAAAACUCACUGAAUUGAAUACCAAAGGAAUUAACUCUUACUAUAUGGAAAUUUUAGAAUAAAUUUUGUUUUUUUUUUUUUUAAAAAAAAGCAGUGUGGUCAGAGUCUAUCAGGAUCUAAAGCAGUGGUUUUAAAGUCUGAAAUCACCUGGGAACCUCAGACAAAUUAAAUAAGAAUCUCUGAGGGGGCCAGGCACAGUGGCUCACACCUGUAAUCCCAGCACUUUGGGAGGCCGAAUCAGGUGGAGCCCAGGAGUUUGAAACCAGCCUGGGCAACAUGGCAAAACCCCAUCUCUACCAAAACUACAAAAAUUAGCCAGUUUCGUAACCCAGUCUCUAAUAAAUAAAUAGAAAUUUUAAAAAAGAAUCUCUGAGGGUAGGACUCAGGCAUCAGUAGUUUAAAAAAAAACACAGGCUAUUAAAAUACACAAUAAAUAUGGAGAAACACAGCCAAAGUGUGGGCUUGGCACCACAGCAUGGGCAUCACAUGAAAACAUGUUAGAGAUGCAGAUUCUUAGACCCCAGCCCAGCCCUGUUGUAUCUAAAACUCUGGGGAUGGGCCCCUGGGAUCUGUGUUUUAACAAGCCUUCUGGGUGGUUCUGACUCUUACUUAAGUUUGAGAUCUACACCUAUGUUGCCUUCAAUGUUAUGAAAAUCCACCACUUGGGUGACCCUGGCUACUGGCCUCUUCCUUCCCACUGGGGUCCUUGGUCUGCCAUCUAAUAGGCCAGCCCUGUCUCAGUACCCUAGUCUAAGCUUAAUCUUGGACAUGAGAAACUGAAGAGGCCAACGUAGUGGACACUCACCAGCAUUCCUGUUAUAGCUAUGACCUUGAACCUCAGCUCCUGGCCCAUGUCUUGUUCACUCUUUCUGAACCUCUAUUGGUAAUGUAAAUUCUCUCUAGGAUUAAAACCUUGCCUUGUUUUUCCAGCCCAAAGACUAGAAUUCCAUUUCUAAACCCAGCCCAGCAGCCGGAAGUCAUGAAGCAGUCAACCUGCCUGGACAUCCAGCUACGCUCUGCUGCGCCAUUCUAUCCACCCAUCAAGACUCCCCUCCCUUCUACUGUAUGUCACCAUAAGUUUUCGUGCCUGUUCUGCAUGCUCAAUUGAACUUCCCUCUAUCAGGUCACUCAAGCCAUUCUCCUGUUCCCACUCUAACCUGCUUUGGAAUCUAUGGCUGCCUAAUGACACUUACAAACAAGUACAUUCAAGGUCAAACAUCCUCAGGUCAAAUUCGUGGCAAGAGGGAUGAUCUUUUAAACCUACAUUUUUGGGCCGGGUGAGGUGGAUCACACCUGUAAUCCCAGCACUUUGGGAGACUGAGGGGGCAGAUCACCUGAGAUCAGGAGUUUGAGACCAGCCUGGCCCACAUGGCAAAAUCCCAUCUCUACUAAAAAUGUUUAAAAAAAAAAAAUAGCCAGGCUUGGUGGCACACACCUGUAGUCCCAACUACUCAAGAGGCUGAGACCGGAGAAUCGCUUGAACCUGGAAGGCAGAGGUUGCAGUGGACCGAGAUCGCACCACUGCACUCCAGCCUGGGCAACAGAGCAAGACUCCAUCUCAGGGAGGGAAAAAAAAACUUACAUUCCCUCCACCUCUCCCUCUCUUUGUUUUAAUGAAGCAUCAGUAACUUCAGCUGUUAUGAUAAAUUGAAAUAGCUGCAAAUCAGCAAAACUCAUGUUUGAUGGGUUAUCUUCUAUCAAAGAGUGAGAGAUGCCUUGCCCUGAUCAUUCCUAUUGCUAACAUAAAUUCCAUUGAGUUCUUAGGCCUAAGAGGAAAGAAAGUAAAGAGAAGAAGAAUGGACUGCACAAUGAAGCUAUCAGAUCAGCCCACGUUGGGAUGGGGUCAAUAGAUGCAAAAUGAACACCAUUCUUCAAAGUAAUCAUCUAACAGCAUGGUAAACAUCUACUGACCCCUUAGCAAUAACAACUGAUUUAACACAUUCCGAUGGUUCUAUUUGGCAGGGAGGAAUGGGAGACAUUUAUCUCUUCGGGAUGGAUAAUUGCACUUGGCUGUUCUUUCCUUUCCAUUCUCAUUGUCACUAACCUGAUCCAGAACCUUAGCACUACCCACCUAAGGAAUGUUGCAGCAGCCCAGGAUGACUGCUGGCUAUGUGCUUUCCCAUUCUAAUGCACCCUACUCUAUCCUAGGAUAACCCUCCUAAAAGCCAACUGGGAUUGAAUUACUCCUCUGCCAAGAACCCUCUGCUGCACCUUAUCCAAGGCCCACCAUAAAAUGAUGCCAGCCCACCUCACCCAAAACCUCUUCCAGAAAGUCCCAGCUCCACCCUGGUUCUCUCCUCCACAGAUGUCAGACCUGUAUGUGGUCUGAUGGCUCUCUCAGCCUCCUUCAUUCUCUCCCCAUUUCUGCCACAUUUUCCCCAAUAAAUCUUGUGUGUGUCUAAUUCCAUUUUGGUGUCUGCAUCUCAGAUGAUCUGAACUAACACAAAUGGAGAGUGAAAAACAAAAAAAAAAGUCUGGCCACAUUUAUAAAUUCAUCCCAGGCUGCAAAGAGUUAGACAGCACUUCCCCAAAGAAAACUGUCACGUAAAACAUUCAAAGAUUCUCAGUUUAGCCAUCAUCUAGCCAGUUCUUCCCACUGAUCACAUUUUCCCAAUUUAUAGAUAGGAAUACUGAGCCUCAAGAGGUUAAGUAAAUCGCCUGAAGAUUAUACAGCUAGUAAAUGAUGAAAUCAGGGCUCUUGACUCAAAGUCCCAGUGUCAUCCAACUACACUUGAGUGGGCUUGAAACGAAUCCUAAGAGUUUUGUAAAUGGUAUAUCAUUAUCUAACAUAAGGUACUAUGAACCACUGCCAUCAUCAUCCUCAUUUCUCUCUGAGGAUCUUUGCAGUAAAGUGAAGGUAGUAGUAGAUCUGUCAUACUGAAUGUUGAAGUCAGAAUAAUGGCUCCCCAAAGAUGCCCAAACCCUAACCCCAAACCCUGUGAUUAUAUAACCUUACAUAGCAAAAUGGACUUUGCAGAUGUGAUUAAGUUUAGGAUUCUGAGAUAGAGAGAUGACCCUGGAUUAUUCCAGGGUCCCAGUGUAGUCACAAGUGUCCUUAUGAGAGGAAAGCAGGAGCACCAGAGUCAAAAGAGAUACAAGGCUAGAGGGUGAGAGGGAGCCCUGAAGAUGCCACUCUGCUGCUUUGAAGAUAGAAGGGGCUACAAGCCAAGGAACACAGGCAGCCUCUAAAAGCUGGAAAAGUUGCUGGGCGUGGUGGCUCAUGCCUGUAAUCCCAGCACUUUGGGAGGCCAAGGCGGGUGGAUCACG